rnacentral:rRNA from 1 species
CCUACGGGCCGCACCAGUGGGGAAUAUUGCACAAUGGGCGCAAGCCUGAUGCAGCCAUGCCGCGUGUAUGAAGAAGGCCUUCGGGUUGUAAAGUACUUUCAGCGGGGAGGAAGGCAAUAAGGUUAAUAACCUUGUCGAUUGACGUUACCCGCAGAAGAAGCACCGGCUAACUCCGUGCCAGCAGCCGCGGUAAUACGGAGGGUGCAAGCGUUAAUCGGAAUUACUGGGCGUAAAGCGCACGCAGGCGGUCUGUCAAGUCGGAUGUGAAAUCCCCGGGCUCAACCUGGGAACUGCAUUCGAAACUGGCAGGCUAGAGUCUUGUAGAGGGGGGUAGAAUUCCAGGUGUAGCGGUGAAAUGCGUAGAGAUCUGGAGGAAUACCGGUGGCGAAGGCGGCCCCCUGGACAAAGACUGACGCUCAGGUACGAAAGCGUGGGGAGCAAACAGGAUUAGAUACCCCCGUAGUC